rnacentral:piRNA from 1 species
UGACAAUCUAUUUCUGAUCUCUUUCGUGGUC